CCUACGGGAGGCAGCAGUGGGGAAUAUUGCACAAUGGGCGCAAGCCUGAUGCAGCGACGCCGCGUGAGGGAUGGAGGCCUUCGGGUUGUAAACCUCUUUUAUCGGGGAGCAAGCGAGAGUGAGUUUACCCGUUGAAUAAGCACCGGCUAACUACGUGCCAGCAGCCGCGGUAAUACGUAGGGUGCAAGCGUUAUCCGGAAUUAUUGGGCGUAAAGGGCUCGUAGGCGGUUCGUCGCGUCCGGUGUGAAAGUCCAUCGCUUAACGGUGGAUCCGCGCCGGGUACGGGCGGGCUUGAGUGCGGUAGGGGAGACUGGAAUUCCCGGUGUAACGGUGGAAUGUGUAGAUAUCGGGAAGAACACCAAUGGCGAAGGCAGGUCUCUGGGCCGUUACUGACGCUGAGGAGCGAAAGCGUGGGGAGCGAACAGGAUUAGAUACCCCA
rnacentral:rRNA from 1 species